UACGUCUAUAUACAUCCAUAUGUAGUCCAUAUUGAAAUCUCUAAAAAGGCUUAUAUUUAGAAACGGAGGGAGUUAUGCUAUAGAACUCUGUCAAACGAAAAAUAACAGGUAUAAACUCAUUUGUAAACCACUAAACCAUGAGGAGAUUGGUGUUUCCUCUGAUAAGACUGGGAAGUCUGUAGUACCUCUUCUCAGCAGGCUGGGCUGACUGUUUGUGGCUGCAACCUCUGCAUGACUGGUAUCAAGAGAAGGGAAAAGCUCUUAAAUAUCACUGAUGGGUCCUGCCUCUACAUAUUGAGCUCUUCCAAGAAGAAAAUUCACAUGGGUUAUCAAUGACAAUUUUUUUGUUCCCAUGUAGUUCUGUCAUCACAUAUGUUUGAGGGUCCUUUGUAUUAAUUAUGAGUGACCUUAUUCGACCCUGGUAUCUGUCCUCUUUAUGUUAUGACAAAGUAGGAAUGGUUGUUCAUUCUGGCAGUAGCCAAAAACUGUCCACCACAGACAUCGAUAUCGGCAUGCCUAUUGGGGGACUUCCAUGUAUCUACAAGAGUAUGCAACAAUGGAAGAAAAAAAGUGCCGAUUGAACACCUACCAGAUCUGUUAUACUUGAUCUAUUCUGACCUUAGAGCGACCUGAGUUCAGGACAGCUCCAGUACUUAUUGUACAAUAACAACACAGUGGGUGGUUUAGGGUGCAGUUUUGAAUGCAUUGCUGCAUAUUAUUUCUAUAAAUCAGAUCCAAUCGGUGGGUGCGAGUUAUUACAGGACUUAGAUCGAAAAUCUGAGGAAAGCGUGUUUGCUGUGUCAGCUGUUCUCUCCCAAAGUGUGUCGCAGGUAGAUAAACGAGGAUCUGGACGAGCCGCAGGGCCGAAAAACCAUAAUGACAGCAAUGAGAAAUCUUGCAUGGAGAUCGGUGCAGGUUACCUGGGUAUAUGGAUCUGUGGCAUUUUCUGGACUCAGAUACCGGCCUGUUGGCUAUAUGUGACAAGUAUGAAAGGUUCGCGGGCUGGCUCGGUUUGGAAGAAGCCGAAGCUUGAAUUGUUUGUGUUGGGGCAGUACACAUCACACAGUGAUCAUCUUGCCACCAACUCUUUGUUAUGUCUACCACAAACCAGUAUCCCGGAUGUCAGUGUGCAGGGCGUUUCCAGGAAUAUGUUGGCCUACACAUGAUGCUCGGUAUCCUUGUCUGAGGGUUGGAUGCUGGAAAUGCCAAGAAUUGGCUGCUCAUAUUUACUGUUCUUCUGUUUCAGGCAGUGAGGUAAGAGGGUGCCUUAUCAAAGAUGUUGGUUUCUGGAACUGCACAAUGAUUUCCUAGGGAUGAGAGUUUGCCUAAAGUAAAGAGGAUGGACGGUUGGAACUUGGAAGGGAUAUAAUGUUAUGCAAGUUGCUUGCAAGAGUGCAGUUGCAUGAGAUGAUAUCUUAUCCAGUGCCAUCAGCGGGGCAUAUUCUUUCGUCACCGUUAGUAGGGGUUGAAUUCUGUUGCCACCGGAGAACAAGGUAGUAGUGAUCUGAGAACAAGGUAGUAGUGAUCUGAUAGAGCUUGAAGUUAGGCAAAAAGGCCCCGAGCCACAGUUAUAUGCAUUCUCACAUCAUGCUUUUUCAUAGCUCAAAUCUACACACUAACAAGGUAUUACUCCUGCCACUGCUGGAUUUUCCUGCCUUGAUUGUCUGAAAUAUCAAGCAAAGAAAAGGAUGGUUCUCCCUACGAGGUUGUUUAGUGGGUGAGCGGUGAUCUGCCUCAUAUGAUUAGCCUUGCACUUUGCAUCUUGUGAGUAACUGUGUUUGAUUUGAGCCCCUCUGUGAUCCGUGGUUGAUUAUAGUACUAGGUUUGCUUUGUGCUGGUCGACGCGCAUUUUGGGUUUUGUUUGGUGUGGAUCCACAUAACGAGAGCACGAAAUACACGUAAUAUGCAUAUUUAUUGUUUAAUUGUAUCUAUCAAUCUAUGUAGUGCUCCAUAUUGCUCUAGUGAAAAGGCCAAUCACUACUUUUAAUUAAA